rnacentral:rRNA from 1 species
CACGUAGGGCGCAAGCGUUGUCCGGAAUUACUGGGCGUAAAGGGCGCGUAGGCGGCGUGUCAAGUCAGGCGUGAAAGCCCCGGGCUCAACCUGGGAACCGCGCUUGAGACUGGCAUGCUCGAGUUCGGGAGAGGAUGGUGGAAUUCCCAGUGUAGAGGUGAAAUUCGUAGAUAUUGGGAAGAACACCGAUGGCGAAGGCAGCCAUCUGGACCGACACUGACGCUGAGGCGCGAAAGCGUGGGGAGCAAACAGGG